ACACGUGUAUAGAUAAUCUAUUGUUAUUAAGAACAUACAUAUAUAGACUUUGGAUUUUCUCUCCAAAUUUCUGUUUAAUAAUAUGCCAGAUGAUUUUACUGUACUGCAGGCGGCAACAACAACAACAACAACAAAAGCAACAAGGUUAAUAACGGCAACAACAACAACCAGGCGGAUAAGCAACCAAAGUAGUAGCCACAGCAUAACGGCGACAGACACGAUAAGAGCUUUACAGAAACGAGAGCACAAGCAAAUGCGCGAGCGUGGCUAAAGAGCGGGAGAGCGGCAGAGAGUGUGAGCGCGGCAAUAAUAAUGACGCAAUUGGCAUGUCAAUGAUUAAACUAGCAAGCAAAUUGAACUUAAGUAUUUAAGAGAGAGAGCGACCGAAAGAGCGAGAGAGAGUGUUGAGUUUUGCUAGUAAGAUGUCGCCGACGCCGGCAGAGCUGGUAGCGCAGCAAAGAGCGCAAAGCAACGGUGACAGUGAAAACGAUAGCAACAGCAGCAAAGGCCGCGAAACGUUAAAGAGCAGAAUAUUAACAACUGUAUACGCAGUAGCAGCGGCUACAACUAUAGGCAGAGGUGGCGGCCAGCGAGGUGGCUCCGCUGUUGCUGCUGCUGCUGCUGCCGCUGCCACCGCUAGCGUCGCGCCCGCAGCUUUGCCCGUCGAGGUGAGCAAGAGCGAAAAUGUUGAGAGCAAGCGACCGCCGAAUGUCGGCAGCAGCAAAGUGGGCAGCGAAGUGCUGAUAAUGACCCCAGAGCAAAUCGCAGAGGCGUACGAGAGAGCGCUGGAAGAAGAAGAGCGACAGCGCGAGGCUGAGGAAAGCAGCAAGAAAACAUUACUGAAUCGCUUGCUCAGUAUAUUAUCAGCGGCCAAAGCGUGUCGAGACGGUUUAUUGUAUUUUGUUGGUCGAAUUUUAAGAUUUAUUUUGCAAUUAGACAUGCAUGGAGGCGGCACAGGGAACAAUAUUAAUUUCGUGGAGGGACUCAUUGACUUCCUAGCCGGUUCGAUUGGCGGCGCGGCUCAAGUUUAUGUGUCCCAACCACUGGAUACGGUUAAGGUGAAGAUGCAGACAUUCCCGGAGACAUACAAGGGCAUGUUCGAUUGCUUUAUGAAAACGUAUCGCAAGGAUGGCGUGAUGCGCGGACUUUACGCCGGAUCGGUGCCGGCUGUGUUUGCCAAUGUGGCUGAGAACUCGGUGCUGUUCGCCGCCUAUGGUGGCUGCCAAAAGUUCGUUAGCUAUGCGGUGGGCAAGGAGAAUCCCCUCGAGCUGACCGUCGUCGAAAACGCUUGCGCCGGCUCUCUCGCCGCCUGCUUCUCCACGCUCACACUCUGCCCCACCGAGCUGAUCAAGUGCAAGCUGCAGGCGCUGCGCGAGAUGAAACAUUUUGUGGAGCCCAGCCAGUCGGCGGAUCUACGCACGCCCUGGACGCUGACGCGCUAUAUUUGGCGCACUGAAGGCAUACGCGGCUUCUAUCGCGGUCUAAGCUCCACAUUCCUGCGCGAAUGCCCCGGCUACUUCUUCUUCUUCGGCAGCUAUGAGGGCACACGUGAGCUGCUGCGCAAACCAACUGAAAGCAAGGACGACAUUGGAGCGUUGAAGACCAUGACCGCUGGUGCUGUUGGCGGCGUCUGCCUAUGGACAUCCACGUUUCCCGCCGAUGUCAUCAAGAGUCGCAUACAGGUGAAGAACCUCAACGAGGGCAUGUUUACGGUGGGCGCGGACAUUGUGCGACGCGAGGGCGUUCUGGCGCUCUAUCGUGGUCUGCUGCCUUCCGUGCUGCGCACCAUUCCGGCGACGGCGACACUGUUCGUUGUCUAUGAGUACACCAAGAAGGCUUUACACGCUUCCCUUUGAUCCACAGCCACGCCAUACGCUCCAUUCACUUUGAAGAUACUGACAAGCAAACGAGUUCUUAAUGCGACUGAUUGCUAUUUAAAUGUUGACCGCCUGACGUAGGCGCCGCUUGAGAAAGUCCUGACGAUCCAUCGUUGCCAAGGCGCGCCACUCAUGCCAAUAGAUCUAGUUAAUGGAAAAAUAACAAACAGAAAACAAUUAACACAAUAUUACAAUACAAUAGAAGAAAAGAAAGUCUGUCGUUAAAAGUACAAGUAC